GUGCUUGUAUCAAUAAUGACUGCACGUGCUUGCUUUUAUUUCGUGUCUCUUUGCAUUCACGCGCCUCCUGAGAUUCUCACUUUCUUCGUUUCAGAAACAUACACGCCCUAGCUAGCAGCCCCGCUCUCCUGCACUGUCCGUACCCAUUUGACGUGCCGCGCGCUCCGUUCAAUCUUUCGUCUUUUGGCUGAGCUCCAAAGAGGUCUUGAAGACACCCUUCGUCGCAGAAGCAACUUUCGUGGCUGAGCUCCGAAGGUGUGCCCUUGCUGCUUUGCUUUUCGGCCUCAGAGAUAGAGAUUGUUCGUUUUGGACUAAUCAUUUCAUUAUUAAUCAUUAAAUCCCUCCCUUUAAGAAGUUCUGGCUCUUCUUCUUCUGGUAGAAAGCGUACUAGUACGAGGAAAGUUGAAAAAGGACAAUUAGAAUCCCAAAACCUGAACUUUCUUUUUCUUCCCUUCACUCACGCCUCAAGAAAGCGUAAACCUGUCCCCUUAAUUUCAGGUUCAAACAUAGGGUUAUGUAAUUUUAUUUUUGUACAACAUUCUUUAGCUUCCCCUUUUUUUUGUUCUUAAAUUAUAAGAAACUUAGAUGAUUUUAGCGUCUAGGUCUUGAAGACAACCUUUCAUAUGCGAACAAGGGUUUGAUCUCUCUCUCUCUCUCUCUUUUACUUUAUUUAUUUUUGUUUAAUUUUUGUGUAAUUUUACGAGGUUGAAUUUGUUUAGGGUUUGACAUGAUUUUAGGUUUGUGUUUGAUUAGCUCAGUUUUUGUGUGCUUGGAUAGCCUAAAUAUAUCUUGUAUUCUGCGAAGAAGAAGCUGAGAGAGGCUAAAGAUGGUAUGAGCAUAUUUUGAUUCUUUACGUAAAUGCAUAUUUUUCUUGUAUUAUGCAAUGACCAAUAUAUAUCAGGCAUCUGUGUGUGAUUACCCUUAUAACGAAUCUACAUUUCAUUUAACUGUGUCAAAUUGCUUUUCCAGUUGACAGGUCUCACUGGUUUAAUAAAAAAUACAUCAAUUAAUCAAUGAAAAUUUCUUUUUCUAUUUUACCGAAUGUCAUGCUUGAUUAACUAUAGUUUUAGACCUCCAUUGAAAGAAAAGGUGUUUCAUUUCUUCCUAGCCCUUUUGUGAAUCAUAGAGUUGAAGAUUCGAAAAGAUUUUUGAGUAAUGGUUUGAGAUGAUCAUGCUCUGUGAUUCCUCAGCCUACCCUCUUAUGGAAUUAUGAUUUUUCUUGAAUUUUAUGUCCUAGAUCAAGAUAUCGUCAAUAUCCUCCCUUGCAAGUCCUUUUUUAUUUCGUGUGCAAAAUUCCCCUUCAUUAGUUCCUUUUUUUUCCUUAUGCUUUUCCUUUUCUAAGUGACAGAAUAUGUUGAUUUAUAUAUGUCUACAUUUCUACGCAACAGAUUAUUUACAACUUUGUUUCUUCCUUAUAUUUUUUUUCCUUAUGCUUUUCCUUUUUGGGUUUGUGUCUUUUACCCCAUUUCAAGUUUUAUUUUGACUUGCUGUGUUUCUUAGAAUGUACUCAUUUUAGGGAAAAUAUCCAUGCCCUUGUUCAUUUUAUUUCUCUCUAUCUCUAUCCUUUCAUUAUUUUAUUUUUUUGUUGGUUUUGGUUUUGUUGAACAUGUCCCCAACCACUUUUUCUUUAAAAAAGUUUUGAGUUCGGAUUUUUUUUUUGUCAAACAGGAUUUGAAAAGGUAGCUUUGGAUGAAGUAGUGAGUACAUUUUGUUUUUUACCUACUUUAAGAGCUUGCAUGAUUUUGGUUGGGGCAUUGGUAGAGUUUGCGUGUAAAGCCAUUUAAUGCCAUAGUUUGAAAAGGUAGCUUUGGAUGAAGUAGUGAGCAUUUUUUUUUUGUUUUUUUACCCGCUUAAGGAGUUGGUUUGGGUGAUUAUAAACUUGCAUAACUUUGAAUGGGGUAUUGGUAGAGUUUAUGCGUGUAAAGCCAUUUAAUGCCAUAGCUAAAGAGUAAUUAACCAUUUCAGUGUGAUGUCUCUGUUUUUCAAUCAUCACAAUCUCAUUCCAAUGGAUGUUCCCAGAAAUGUCUCUUCCCCUGCCUUAGUGGGAGACAAUGAUUCAACCACCAUGACUUUGCCAAUUGACUCAGGUCAAUACAAACCUUAAUUUCUAAUCUUCAUUUCUAUGAGAUUUUGAAUUUUCCAAUGCUUUUUCAAUCAUUUCAGGUGCAAGACCAAAAAUAACUUGGAGUAUUUUAAUUUUGAAUUUUCCGAAAUUUCUUUAGCAGUCAAGUAUUUUAAUUUUGAAGUGAAACUUUUCUCUUCUUUAAAUGACCAAAAAUAACUUGUGGAGAGGGUUAGAUAUGACUGAAACAGUCAGUGAGGACUGAGUUCUUGUUUCCUCUGUUAUUAUCAAUGGGCGUUAUUUUUCAAUGGGGAGGAAAACUGAUGGGGUUUGGUUGUGAAGGAAGGACUUUCUGUUCUAGAUGUAGUUCAAUAUAGUUGCUUUUUUGGAAAAAUGGUUUUACACGUGAAUGAAACUCAUUCAGUUUUGCAAUAAUGUUUUUCUAUUUUGGACCUUAGGUAUUGUUCACCAAUUAAGCUCAAAGGCAAUCCUUGCUUUUAUUUUUCAAUAUAUGUUUGUGUCUACUUCAGUAUAUUUCGUGGAGCAUUUUUACAUCCGAAUAUAGUCUCGAUUUAUGAUUUUAUCUUUCUUUGGGAUGAGGAUCUAGGGGUGGAGCAUUUUUCACCAUCAAGGUAUGAAGGGAUGCUUCUUUGCUUUUCUGUUAUUCUUGUUAUUUUGAUAUGUAUGUGCAAUCUACCUUGGAUGUGAAUGAUUAUCAUUUUAUGGGCUAGCAGGAACCUACUGGUAUAAAUGUUAUGAAAAAAGAAUCCAAUUUUAUUUGAUUACCUGAUUAUAUAUUAGUUUUCCCCUUUUAUGAUUUGAUAGCUGAAUGAAAACUGACUCUGAAUUUUCUGCAACACACUAUAAGAUGUAUAUUAUCCUUAUUAGGUUUGUUAACCUUACAUUUGGUUGCUAAGAAAUCUUGGCUUUUCUAGGGUGGUAUCUUAAAAAAGAGGUUAUUUGUUGGGGUUUUUAAAUGAGGUUUACCUUCGUCUAGCUGCUCAUAAGAAAACUUGUUUUGAUUUACUUGCAUUUUAUUUUUGGGGGCAUCCUGAUGAAGUUUAACCUUGUUUGUUAUGAAAUUUUCAGAAUUCAAAUUGUCAUUUUUGUCAUAGAUUAAAAAUAGAUGAAAAUAAUCCUCUAUGUUGGUGCUCAAUAUUGGCUCAUCACUAUCAUUUGUAUCUUAUCCAGAAUGACCUUGUCCAUGGAUGGGGACUAGAUAUGAAACUAGGAUAUUGUGCACAGGUGAGAAAUAUGCAUUUUCUAGACACUUUUGGUGGUUGUAAUUUUUUUUAUUUUUUAAUUUUCUUUUUCAAUGAUGAUACUUCCUGUAAGAUUCUUAUUACCUUGCAACUCUAUUUUUCAUUCUUGGAAGUGAUUGAUAUAGCCAAUCGUGCUUAUAGUUCCUCCAGCAAGAAAUAAAGGUUAUGAAAUAUUUGCACAUUCUCGUGUGAAAUCAUUAGCAUGUAAAUUUUAAAUGCAUCAUGUGGAUAUAUUAAAUUUAUAUUUAAUCAAUCAAUCAUUUGUAUACUAGGACUUAGGUUGCUCUGCCUUGACUUUUUUAGCCACCAUUAUAUCAUUAGUGAGAAUAAUGUCAUUUUUUCCGGGACAUCGAACUAAAAAAGUGGGAGUUGUUGAUGGCGAAUAUUUUUUCAUGGGAAUACAAACUUUGGGUGGGAGUGGUCACAGAAUUACAAAGGAACAUGCUCUUGCUGUUGAACAUCUGGCACCAAGCUAGGCAGCUCUUAGAAUGGAGCUGUGCCCCGGAUACAUGAGUGAUGGUAACUUUUGGAAGAUAUACUUUGUACUCGUGCACCCUAGACUUAGCAAAAUUGAUGCUGCUAUUUUAUCCACUCCACAAGUGAGUUAAAUUUUAAUCGGCAUUGGUUUUCUUUCAUAUAUGCACUUGUGUUGUUUUUGUCUAAUUUAUUUUGGUUUGUUUGUUUGUUUGUUUUAACUUUAAUCAUGUGAAACUAAUGAUUGAAGUAGAGACAAUUAAGGUUUUUCAUUGUUCACGGAUUAAACCUGGCAUUGAAAUCUUGUAAAGUGAUCUUAAUACAAUCAUGUGUAACUCUGCUUUGAAUCGUAAUGAAAGUUCAUUGAACACA